rnacentral:snRNA from 1 species
AGCCACGCAAUGAGCACAUAGCGAAUUAUUCUUUCGCCUUUUAUUAAAGAAUAUCGUGUGUGCGUUGAAGACAGUGGCAUACGCCAAUUUUUAGAGGGGUUGAGAGACCCCA